rnacentral:lncRNA from 1 species
CUUUUAAAACUUUGAAAUGACAUUGAUCUUGGACGAUUCAAAAUGAAAUAUCUUCGAGAGCUGCUGCUUAGCAUUACUCUUUAGAAAAAGUGAUGCAAAAGCUCUGAGCUGCAGUAUAUAAAUGUGUUUUGGAUUUUUAAAGCUUUGGAGACUGACAGCUCAAUCAUCUGAUGAGAAAUAGAGCCUUUCUUGUCUCUACAUGGCAAUGAUUUUGUGAGAGAACUUAUGAUGAAGAGAACUACAAGAACUAGAGGAGAACAAGGCAGGAGACACAAAAUUUCUGGAUGAGAAAGGACAAAGCAAGCACCAAGCUGGGCAAAAAAAGAAGAUGCAAGGCAAAUACAGACCUUCACAAAGGAUGCUGCAUAUUAUAAUAUGGUAUAUAUUAUCUAAUUAUAUAAUAUGGUAUAUAUAAUAUAAUAUUAUGGUUGUCUAAUAACAAUAUGCACAUACAAAAUCACUGGUGUUAUUAGUGGGAAUACUCCCAUAUAGAUCAUCUAUCAAAUGCUCUUACAGUUAAUGUGCAAGAUAAAAGUUAAUAUUAAAUGUUUUAAAAGGCACUAAUUGCUUCCCACGUUUAGUCAGUCUCGCUUGUAUUCCAGUGUGCUGACUGAAAACAGUGAAGUGUGGUACAUCUUCCAGGCUGUAAGCAAAGCAAGCUUUUGUGGGGAUACCCUCUACAAAUAACGUGGCUGAUUUUUUAUUGUAAGACAACACAGCUUUAUUUAGUGGCUACUUUUUCUUAGGCAUAUAAGGAUUCCCAGCAUACCCUCACCCAGCAGAACAAAAGCAGGAUGUAUAUGUUCCUGAGUUUAAGAAAAGCUCUGUGAGUGUAUAUUCUGAGAACUGAAGGACGGCACAUCCAUAUAGCAGAGAGGGAUGAUUGCCAUGUGGGAGCUGAGAGGAAGAAUCUGAGAAACAGGCUUCUGGGUGGAAGGCUGAGGGGGAGACUGGUUGCGUAACUACUAAGAGGAAGGAUGAGGCACUGGCUACAAGCCAGAUAGAAGAUGAUAUUCUUUGUGGAGAAUCAGUGGUAAUCAAAGACAAACAGGAAUAGGAUAUGUACAUACCCAUAUACCCACAUGAAACAGAUGGCAAAAUGGGAUGAGAGAGGGUAACUUUCUAGAUUGCACAGGCCCCCUUGUAUUAUAUAUCCUACCUUCUCUGUCCUCUUUUACCUGAAUCUUAUGUAUAUAUAUUCUUUUUUAAUUUUUUUUUUUUCCUGAGAUACAAGAAUGAGCUAAUCUGCAGGUAAUCUAAUUGCCUUGCUUUUAAAAAGUCAGAAAUGUAUGUCACUGCUCUUGAAGGGAAUUCAGCCUAGCCCAACAAUCAUAAAUCUAGCUCUCAGA